ensembl:snRNA U6 U6 spliceosomal RNA
GUGGUCACUUUGGCAGCACAAAUACUAAAAUUGGAACAAUACAGAGAUUAGCAUGGCCCCUACACAAGGAUGACGUGCAAAUUCGUGAAGUGUUCCAUAUUUAA